CUACCAUGCAGUCGAACGCGAAGGCCCCGCAAGGGGCAAGUAGAGUGGCAAACGGGUGAGUAACACGUGGGUGACCUGCCUUCGAGUGGGGGAUAACGUCCCGAAAGGGACGCUAAUACCGCAUGACAUCCUGCCUUUGAAGAGGUGGAGAUCAAAGCUGGGGAUCGCAAGACCUAGCGCUUGAAGAGGGGCCCGCGCCCGAUUAGCUAGUUGGUGAGGUAAUGGCUCACCAAGGCAACGAUCGGUAGCCGGCCUGAGAGGGCGGACGGCCACACUGGGACUGAGACACGGCCCAGACUCCUACGGGAGGCAGCAGUGGGGAAUUGUUCGCAAUGGGCGCAAGCCUGACGACGCAACGCCGCGUGGAGGAUGAAGAUCUUCGGGUCGUAAACUCCUGUCGAAUGGGACGAAUGGGUCGUGGGUGAAUAACCCGUGACCGUGACGGUACUGUUAAAGGAAACCCCGGCUAACUCCGUGCCAGCAGCCGCGGUAAUACGGGGGGGGUAAGCGUUGUUCGGAAUUACUGGGCGUAAAGGGCUCGUAGGCGGCCAACUAAGUCAGACGUGAAAUCCCUCAGCUUAACUGGGGAACUGCGUCUGAUACUGGAUGGCUUGGAUCCGGAAGAGGGAUGCGGAAUUCCAGGUGUAGCGGUGAAAUGCGUAGAUAUCUGGAGGAACACCGGUGGCGAAGGCGGCAUCCUGGGCCGGUAUUGACGCUGAGGAGCGAAAGCCAGGGGAGCAAACGGGAUUAGAUACCCCGGUAGUCCUGGCCCUAAACGAUGAAUGCUUGGUGUAGCGGGUAUCGAUCCCUGCUGUGCCGAAGCUAACGCAUUAAGCAUUCCGCCUGGGGAG
rnacentral:rRNA from 1 species